CGCUGUAAUGGCUUGGUCGAAGUGUUUAGUACUCCCAAUAGUGCAUGUUCGGUGGUCUCGGGUUCGAGUCUCGCUUUCGAUCCCUCGAUCUGCCACGUCUGUUCGAAGAGUAGUCUUCGUGGCAACUGGCAGUUAAACCGUGUAGUACCGAUGGAGGUUGGAAACAAUGCACAUCACUACCGGGUCUUGGGCAGUGCGAUAGCGAUGGGAUUCACCUUCGCAGGAUGUGCAUGGAAGUAUAAACACAACGGUCGUU
rfam:Yeast (S.pombe) small ribonucleoprotein-associated signal recognition particle-like (SRP) RNA gene, complete cds.